rnacentral:rRNA from 1 species
UACGAAGGGGGCUAGCGUUGUUCGGAAUUACUGGGCGUAAAGCGCACGUAGGCGGCUCUUUAAGUCGGAGGUGAAAUCCUGGAGCUCAACUCCAGAACUGCCUUCGAUACUGAAGAGCUCGAGUCCGGGAGAGGUGAGUGGAACUGCGAGUGUAGAGGUGAAAUUCGUAGAUAUUCGCAGGAACACCAGUGGCGAAGGCGGCUCACUGGCCCGGUACUGACGCUGAGGUGCGAAAGCGUGGGGAGCAAACAGGGAUUAAGAA